CAGCACUGAAAAUAAAUAAAUAAACAAACAAUCUAAUGAUGGAUAUGGGUAAAUUUUAGAUUAAAAAAAUCAACAAAAACCAGAAGGAAUGAAUCUAGCUUGGUAGAAGCACGUAAAAAUCAAAUUAUCAGAGAUUUUAGUGGGUGUGGUAGCCAGUCUCCAUGAUAGGCCCAGUGAUUCCAGACUCUUAUCAUUCACAUUGUCUUGCAUCUCCCUCCUGCGAUGAAUAAGUUGAUCUGUAACUAAUAAGACAUUGAGGAUGGGCUGGGGAUGUGGUAGAGUUUAGCAUGUGGUAGGCCAUGAAUUAAACCACUAGGUUAAAACAAAGAUAUUGAAGAAAUAAUGAUAUGUCACUUCCCAGGCUAGGGCACAAAUGAUAUGGCAACCUCUACCUUACUUUCUUUUGGAUCAAUCUCUGACAGUGGUGUGGGGAAGAACUUUCAUGUCAUGAGAACUCUCAACUAGCCCAUGGAGAAGCCCAUGUUGUUGAGGAGCUGAGGUUGUUGACAACCAGAAUGACAAUGUACUCAACCACACACAGAAGCAUCCUAGUCUUUGAUGGCUCAGCCUCAGCCAAUAUCUUAUAUCCAAUCUCGUGAAAGGCCCUGAAUUAGAACCACUUAGAUAAGCUGCUUCCAAAUACCUGACUCACAGAAACUGAACCCCCCACACCCAGAGAGAGAGAGAAAGAGAGAGAGAGAGAGAGAGAGAGAGAGAGAGAAAUAGAUAUAGUGGGGGAGGGGAAGGAAUACGUGGGGAUUGAAACCUGAGCCACAUUCCCAGCUCCUUUUAUUUUAAUUUUGAGAUGGAGUCUUGCUAAGUUACUGAGGGUCUUACUAAGUUGCGUAGCCUGGUCUUAAACUUUCAAUCCUCCUGUUCUAAGCCUCCAAAGCACCAUGUGUGAGCCACUGCAUCCCUUG
rnacentral:lncRNA from 1 species